UACAGAGGUGGCAAGCGUUGUUCGGAAUUACUGGGCGUAAAGGGCGCGUAGGCGGCCUUCUAGGUCAGACGUGAAAUCCCCAGGCUUAACUUGGGAACUGCGUCUGAUACUGGGAGGCUUGAGUGCGGGAGAGGGAUGUGGAAUUCCAGGUGUAGCGGUGAAAUGCGUAGAUAUCGGGAGGAACACCAGUGGCGAAGGCGACUACCUGGCCUGUUCUUGACGCUGAGGCGCGAAAGCUAGGGGAGCAAACGGG
rnacentral:rRNA from 1 species